CACUUACACAUUCUAACUCUAACUUACACACUAACACAUACACAUUCUCACUGACCUACACAUUGUCACUUGCACACUCUCACUAACAUACACAGUGUCACUUACACACUCUCACUAACACACACAGUGUCACCUACAUACUCUCACUUAUACACACACACUCUAAUUUACACACUCUCACUGGCAUAGACAUUGUCAGUUACACACUCUAACACCACACAGUGUCACACAUGCUCACUAACAGUGUCACUUGCACACUCUCAGUAACUGUCACUUGCACUCUCUCCCUAACACAUACUCACUAACAGUGUCACUUGCACACUCUCCCUAACACACACACCCAGAGUCACUUGCACAUUCUCACUAUCACACACACACACACACACACACACACACAGAGAGUCACUUGCACACUCUCCCUAACACACACACUGUCACUCAAACACAAACUUUACAUAAGGUCACACUUUAUUUACACACACAAACACACCAAUUUAACACACUCCCCCAUUUACAAACAUGCACACAAUAAGCAAUCCCCCUUAACCAUGCCAUACCUGGGUGCUAUGCUGAGCAGAGGUCCAGGCUGUAGGAUCCAGGAUGUUGCUCUUUCUCCUGGGGGAGCAGGAGAGCCAUGCACUUUGAGCACAGCCUGCUUCCUGCUCCCUUCACAGUGCUUCCGGUGUUCACAGGCUCCCCCUGCCUGCAGGAAGCACAGUGCUCUGCUCGGGUUACAGCAAACCCCACU